rnacentral:misc_RNA from 1 species
GCACACUUUUGAGAUUAGGAUAUCUACAAAAUAGAACCCAAGUUAGAGAGAAUUAUUCAGGCUGUGCUGGAAUAUGCAGAAAAACAUUAUUCAUCCAAGAACUGAUCCUCUAUUGGUAAUGAUAAGAAGCGCUCAAGAGAAUGCAAAAUUGAAUAAAAAAUGGACAAGGACCCAUAUGUCAAUUGGUUUUUAUAAAAACGAUGGAUGAAUCUGCCUUACCCGUAAGUCACAUAU